rnacentral:rRNA from 1 species
UACGUAGGGUGCAAGCGUUGAUCGGAAUUAUUGGGCGUAAAGAGCUCGUAGGCGGUUUGUCGCGUCUGCUGUGAAAACCCGAGGCUCAACCUCGGGCCUGCAGUGGGUACGGGCAAACUAGAGUGCGGUAGGGGAGAUUGGAAUUCCUGGUGUAGCGGUGGAAUGCGCAGAUAUCAGGAGGAACACCGAUGGCGAAGGCAGGUCUCUGGGCCGAUACUGACGCUGAGGAGCGAAAGCGUGGGGAGCGAACAGG